AUUGAACGCUGGCGGAAUGCUUUACACAUGCAAGUCGAACGGCAGCACGGACUUCGGUCUGGUGGCGAGUGGCAAACGGGUGAGUAAUACAUCGGAACGUGCCCAGUCGUGGGGGAUAACGUAGCGAAAGCUACGCUAAUACCGCAUACGAUCUAAGGAUGAAAGCGGGGGAUCGCAAGACCUCGCGCGAUUGGAGGGGCCGAUGGCAGAUUAGGUAGUUGGUGGGGUAAAGGCCUACCAAGCCGACGAUGUGUAGCUGGUCUGAGAGGACGACCAACCACACUGGGACUGGGACACGGCCCAGACUCCGGCGGGAGGCAGCAGUGGGGAAGUUUGGCCAAUGGGCGCAAGCCGGAUCCAGCCAUUCCGCGUGCAGGAUGAAGGCCCUCGGGUUGUAAACUGCUUGUGUACGGAACGAAAAGGCUCUGGUUAAUACCCGGGGCUCAUGACGGUACCGUAAGAAUAAGCACCGGCUAACUACGUGCCAGCCGCCGCAGUAA
rnacentral:rRNA from 1 species